rnacentral:lncRNA from 1 species
AUGCUCCGGAUGGGGAAGCACAUAUUUCUCAUGGUUCUCCCUCAGGGAAUGCUGCCUGAAGCCAAAACCCUUUUUUUACGCAGCUCUAUAGGUGCUUCUGCUUUGGGAUUUUUCACUAAGUGUUGCUAUAGGAACUUAAUUGCUUCUGUUCAUCCAGGUCUGAGCAGCUCCCUGCUCCCACUCCUCUUCUCUCAUGGCUGGCAGCAUCGGGGCUCUGAGGACAGCAGAGGAUGCUCAGCCUGAAGAGGACAAGUUGUCUCUUUCCCAUUACCCUCUCUUUGAAAAAGCAGCUUGAAGAUUACACAGUCAAGCCCACAAAAGCUGGGAAAGGAAAAAUAUUAUACUGGGCUGCCCUACAGUGCCAUCGCUUACACCCAGCCAGACCAGUAACUCCAUCAGCACGGUCUGCUCUUACCCUGCUUCAUUCCUGACCAUGGCAGGCCAGGUCUUAACAUUAUUGGUGAUUUUGGGUUGCCCAUCUUUGGAUUUGAGUGUAGUAAUGUCAUGCCACCUAUUUAGGGUACUGGGGGACUAUGGGGGGGGUGGGGGUUCUCCUCCCUUGCUGAUUGAUGCUGUAUAUAUCUGUCAUAUUUUUUUUCAGACUUUGCAAACUGCAGUUCUCUCUUGGGCACAUGCCCCUUUGAAGUAAGAAACUAAUUUAAUGAAUUAAAUUAAUUAAUUUACAGCUUUGGCACUAAAGCGCAGACUAAAGGUCAACAGCAUCUGCUGAUUUUGGAUGGUACAAACCACGACUGCCCUCCUAUUUUUUGUUUUCCUGAGAAUUUGGCAUUAUAUUGAGCUUUACCACAUGGCAACACAGGUCCUCCUGUCUCCGGCUGCAGCUUUGAACAUGCAGCUUUUCAUCAGACCGAUCCCAGGUCAGGCUGGAGGAUCAGGAAUAUGACCUGGAGCCCCAGCCCUUCCCUACUCACCUCUGGAAAUGCUAUAACCUGACCUCGCACAUGGCAGCACACAGCAAAUAACCAACAUGCUGAACAGGACAGAGGGCCCCUUGGCAUCUCCUGCCCUCUUGACAUUCAUCCUGAAGUAGAUCCAGCUGGUGGAGGAAAUCCAGCUGGAAAAUGAGCAUGCAGGGGUCGGUUAAAGGUAGAGGUAGUGGUGCAAGUUUCAUGCACAGAGCAGAGAGAGGGGUUGUCAGUCCAGGUGUGUGGGUUCUCUUACGGCAGCCGACGUGCAAUGCUGAUGACAUUGUUU